UGGGCAUGUGCCAGGUGGAGGAGCCGUGGGAUUAGGAGCUGUUGGAGGGGCUGCAGGUGCUGAAGACACAAAGCUAAUGGCAAAAACAAGGACCAAAGCGAACGAGCAGAGAGAAACAGAGGAGAGGGAGAGUGAAGAAGAGGAGCUAGAAGAGCUCAGGAAAGAACUGGAGAAACGUAAGAGAAAGGAGGAAAGUAGAGAAACAGGAAGCAAAUUAAGGAGUGCAAGCAGGAGGAAUGAAGAAGAAAGUAGCCAAGACGAAGAUAAAAGGAGCAGCAGUGAGGACAGCAAUGAAGGCCAAGGAAAGACAGUUGAAGGAAAAUAAAACGAAGGAUGGAAAGACACUGAAGAAGGCACAGCUGAUGUACUACUCUGGAGGAGGAAGAGGACACCAGGAAAAUGGUGGCAACCAAGGAAACGGAGGAGGUAGAGAGAGAGGUAGAGGCCAAGGGGCCCCUGCUGGAGCUGAUGGAGGGAGAGACUGGAGCUGCUACAACUGUGGCAAGGUACGGCAUCUUUCUCCCAGUAGGAGAAGGCCAAGGAGAGUGGCCGUCCCCACCUGCAGGCGUGCAGGUGAACAACCCACUUGGAAAAGGAGGUGGACGAAGGGGCUACCAACCAUAGGAAUGAGGCGGAAAACAAGAAGAAACGAAUUAAGAAAACAAUGAUGAACAACCAGAAGAAACCUGUCAAAUGCUAAAAUGUACCACCUUGUCAACCCAAAACCCCAUUAAUGAUAUCUUCGGUAAUAAACAUAAAUUCCAUUCUUAGGUGGAUGCAGGGGCCACGGUCUCAGUGUUUAAAAUGUCUGCCCUGUCUGUCUCCCCCUCAAAGAAAACAAUGUACACAGUGGGAGCGUCUGGAAUUCUGGAGUGGGGAGCGGACAAAUGGAGACACCAAAUCUUGUACUUCUCCGUAUGCCCAGUAAAUUUAUUAGGAAGAGAUUUGAUGUGUAAAAGGAAUUUAUCUGUUGCCUGUUCUGAAGAAGCAUUGUCAUUGGGAUCGAUAGAAAAUGGAAUCUUCCCAUGCCUGAUGAAUUGUUACUGUGCUUGGCACCUGAAUGAUCUCCAUGUUGAGGGACAGCUGAGAGAGCAAUCCCUCUCUCCCCGUUGCAUGGUAACUGGGAAGUGUUUGAAUACCUACAUUGUACUGCUGCUGUUCCCUCAUGCGAAGAGGACCCUGAAUACCAACAGAGAUGGUCAAAACAAAAAGAGAAAAUUGAGAUAACCAUGAAUGGGAUAUACAGAGGAGAAGACUUUGUAGCAGCUGGAGUGUUGUUGAUGGAUACUCAGAUGAGUUUGUAUGAAAUGUGGGUAUUUGGAUGAAGAAAGUGAUGGAAGCAACUGAUUGGGUGGCCUGGGAAGGGGAAGGACAGUGGUCAGCUUCUACAGCAACUUUCUAUUCCCCAUACUGGGCUACUGCAGUGACCAAGAAAAUAACCAAUUCCCGUUGAAACCAUGCCUGUGGUAUUACAAGAUAAUUCACAUAUUGAUUGGCUAAAAGAUAUCCCUGAAGAACAUUGGGCUAAAUCAAAGACCGACAUUGGAUGCAUGAAAGGAGCUGCACCAGUUGUGAUAAUUCCAAAAAGCUCCCACAGACCUUACAAAGCUCAGUACCCUCUUAGCAAGGAAGCCGAAAAGGGUAUCAUUCCCAUUCAUAGUGUGUUAGUUGAAAGAGGCACUCUGGUUCCCUCCCCAAAUUCGCCUUGUAACACAGAUGGCAGCAGUUCCAGCUCCCACCAACCCUUUCUAUGUUGAUGACGUGGUUGCUUUGCAGGCAACGGCUGAUGAGUCAGAGAGACUUAAGUGGGCUGGGUACUGUCGUAAAGACGCAUCGGGUGUAUGGCUGGAUGAGAGGAGCAGACCGUUGUACUUUCCAUUUCCUUGCCAAAUUGUCACAUGGUCAGGAUCAUAUGUCCAAAGGAGGGAUGGUGGAUCUUGUGUCGUUCUGCACGCCUUCCAAAUUCCACCCCCAGUCCAACGGAUAGUCGGAGCAAGCCAAUCAGGACUUAGAGACGACUCUUCGCUGCCUAGUCUCCGCCAACUCUACCACCUGGAGUCAGCAGCUGG
rnacentral:lncRNA from 1 species